rnacentral:rRNA from 1 species
UAUAAACUAGGCGUUCAAGAGCACGUGGCCAGAAAUGGCUCAAGUCGCUCGAUGAGGACGAGAAGAUUUGGUGGCCGGCGACUCGACGACGCCAUGCUACUCGUGGCCGGCGGCCGGCUGCUCAACAACAUCACACAAGACUUGACCGGCGGCAGACCGACGACAUCCUCACGCAACGCACUAUGUGUCUCCUAAUGAUCACCGUGCAUGGAUUAGUAGAUCGGCUACUCCAAUCACAAGUGCACACACCUCGUGCUUGGUGAUUCAAUGGAUAUACAUAGUAGAUAUAUUUAUUUUCGUGAUGUCUAGUGUACAAAUCUAUAUGGAACGUACAUUACAUGAAGAUGUAGAAACAAAGGGC